rfam:Oryza sativa (indica cultivar-group) chromosome 1, whole genome shotgun sequence.
UUUAAGUACAACCAUGAGUUUCUGUGCCCAACUUUGAUCGUCCAUCUUAUUUGAAUUUUUUUUAUAAUUAUUAUUUUUGUUGUUAUGAGAUGAUAAAACAUGAACAAUACUUUACUCGUGACUUAUGUUUUUCAAUUUUUUGAAAAUUUUUUUCAAAUAAGAUGGACAAUUAAAGUUGGGCACGAAAAACCAUGGUUGCACUUAAA